rnacentral:rRNA from 1 species
GAUGAACGCUAGCGGCAGGCUUAACACAUGCAAGUCGAGGGGUAACAGAGAAAGCUUGCUUUCUGCUGACGACCGGCGCACGGGUGCGUAACGCGUAUACAAUCUACCUCUAACUAAGGGAUAGCCCAGAGAAAUUUGGAUUAACACCUUAUAGUAUUACAUUUUCGCAUGUUUAUGUAAUUAAAACUCCGGUGGUUAGAGAUGAGUAUGCGUCCCAUUAGCUUGUUGGUAAGGUAACGGCUUACCAAGGCAACGAUGGGUAGGGGGCCUGAGAGGGUGAUCCCCCACACUGGUACUGAGACACGGACCAGACUCCUACGGGAGGCAGCAGUGAGGAAUAUUGGUCAAUGGACGAAAGUCUGAACCAGCCAUGCCGCGUGAAGGAUGAAUGCCCUACGGGUUGUAAACUUCUUUUAUAUAGGAAGAAACCUCUCUACGUGUAGAGAGUUGACGGUACUAUACGAAUAAGGACCGGCUAACUCCGUGCCAGCAGCCGCGGUAAUACGGAGGGUCCAAGCGUUAUCCGGAUUCAUUGGGUUUAAAGGGUGCGUAGGCGGAAUAAUAAGUCAGUGGUGAAAGCCUGCAGCUUAACUGUAGAACUGCCAUUGAUACUGUUAUUCUUGAGUCUAGUUGAAGUUGGCGGAAUACGACAUGUAGCGGUGAAAUGCAUAGAUAUGUCGUAGAACACCUAUUGCGAAGGCAGCUAACUAAGCUAGUACUGACGCUGAGGCACGAAAGCGUGGGGAGCGAACAGGAUUAGAUACCCUGGUAGUCCACGCCGUAAACGAUGAUUACUCGGUGUUGGCGAUAUAAUGUCAGUACCCAAGCGAAAGUGAUAAGUAAUCCACCUGGGGAGUACGAUCGCAAGGUUGAAACUCAAAGGAAUUGACGGGGGCCCGCACAAGCGGUGGAGCAUGUGGUUUAAUUCGAUGAUACGCGAGGAACCUUACCUGGGCUUAAAUGUAGGACGACCGUUUGGGAAACCAAACUUUCUUCUGACGGACUACAAGGUGCUGCAUGGUUGUCGUCAGCUCGUGCCGUGAGGUGUCGGGUUAAGUCCCAUAACGAGCGCAACCCCUAUUCUUAGUUGCCAGCGGUUCGGCCGGGGACUCUAAGAAAACUGCCCGCGCAAGCGGUGAGGAAGGUGGGGAUGACGUCAAGUCAGCACGGCCCUUACGUCCAGGGCUACACACGUGUUACAAUGGCCGGUACAAAGGGCAGCUACAUAGUGAUAUGAUGCUAAUCCUUAAACAAUAUCUCAGUUCGGAUUGGAGUCUGCAACUCGACUCCAUGAAGCUGGAAUCGCUAGUAAUCGCGCAUCAGCCAUGGCGCGGUGAAUACGUUCCCGGGCCUUGUACACACCGCCCGUCAAGCCAUGGAAGCUGGGGGUACCUGAAGUCCGUCACCAUAUAGGAGCUGCCUAGGGUAAAACUAGUAACUGGGGCUAAGUCGUAACAAGGUAGCCGUACCGGAAGGUGUGGCUGGAACACCUCCUUU